rnacentral:lncRNA from 1 species
CUUUCUUUUGAUUUUUCUUCCAAAAAUGGCAGACUUCUCUUCUCUCUCUUUUUGGCGUUUUUUCUCUCUUUGGCGGAGGAAAUUUCAAAUAUAAUUUUAUAUAGUUUUCGGCCAUAUUUUUGGUAGUAAGGCCAGUAUUCCGAGCCGGUGAUCUGGUGGUUAUUUUACAGUUGGCUGACCAGUAUUUUGUGUUUUUCGACAGCGGGUUUUUUUGUCCGUUUGGUCAGAUUUUUAGACUGUAAAUUGAUAUUACUUUGGAGUCCAGGUUAGGGUCGAUUAGGGCUAAUAUUAUGAGGCUAUUUGUAAAGCCGAUGAUCUGAUUUUCUUGGUGUAAAUCUGAAUCUUGUAAAACGAACUCGUGUUCUUUCUUGGGAGGUUCUUUGCAUAGUGACGGAUUUGGGCUUUUUGCCUCUGAGGCCCCUAGAUUAUGCUUGGCCGAAUUGAGUGAGCAAUUUGUGCAUUCUUUAAUUUUCUGCAUGAUUUUUAUUACUACUGUGGUUGAGAAUUGGUGAUUGAAACCACGCAUUGGGUGAAAAAUCCCAACAUAACUGGUAUCAGAGCCUAGUAAGGCAUGGGUAAGGCAUCUGUUAAUACAGUUUAAUUUUUUGUCAUAUUGAUGUGUUUAAUUUGAUCUGUGUAGUCCAAUAAGUAAUUUGAACAGAAGUUCUUGGAGCUAGGGUUUUGGAUUCCGACUCUGUAGUAAAUCACUGGAG